GUGGAUUAGAUACCCUGGUAGUCCACGCCCUAAACGAUGAACACUCGCUGUUGGCGAUACACAGUCAGCGGCUAAGCGAAAGCGUUAAGUGUUCCACCUGGGGAGUACGCCCGCAAGGGUGAAACUCAAAGGAAUUGACGGGGGCCCGCACAAGCGGAGGAGCAUGUGGUUUAAUUCGAUGAUACGCGAGGAACCUUACCCGGGCUUGAAAGUUAGUGAAUGAUUUAGAGAUAGAUCAGUGAGCAAUCACACGAAACUAGGUGCUGCAUGGCCGUCGCCAACU
rnacentral:rRNA from 1 species